CCAGGGUAAGGCUUUGUGACAUCACUCUAAGAUAAGACAAAAGCACAAGAAUAGGUUGUACUUAGUAGAGGCAAACCAAGCUGUCCUCAAGCAGGGUGUGACACAGGUUUCUUCUUGACUUGAGGAUGAGUGAAAAAGCCCACAGCCACAUGGGUAUUUUCGCAGCUUCCCAAGGGGGAAAGGCUGACCCUGGAUAAGAAUGGCAGGAGAAUUUAAUUUUAGGAUUUGGGAAGAAGGAAUUACUGUUAAGUAUCUCAGAAGAAUCAAGAUUUGGGAGCAGGAAGUGAAGACUUAUCCAGAUUAAAGAUUGUGCUAAUUUAUUACAACCAUGUAUACUGAAAACAAGCAUGUUGGGGGGUGGGGAAGAAAGACCUGAUCUGGUCACAGGAGUAGUGCUGGUGAGGAGAGGACAACAGACCUAGUGAUGUUUGUUUCACCCUCCGCACUUCCCACCACCUGGAAAAUGAAGACUGACAACUAUUAAGAUUAACGAGCAAGAAUUGAAAUCAUUCACGAAGAGAAGCUUUGGACUAAAACCCAUCUGCCAGAUAAGCCAAUAAAUGUCCCUCUCAUCAAGUGAUUGGGACCGGGAUGGAGCUGGAAUUUGGCCCUAAUGUUGCAUGUGUAAA
rnacentral:lncRNA from 1 species